CAGUAGCGUAUAUUAAAGUUGUUGCAGUUAAAAAGCUCGUAGUUGGAUUUCUGGCUUGAGAACGCUAGCCCGCCAGGGUUACCUGUGUGAGUGCCGGCUGUUCUCUGCCAUCCUUCUAGAGAACGUGUCUGCCUUUUAUUAGGUGGGCUCGCAAUCUAGAUCAUUUACUUUGAGAAAAUUAGAGUGUUUAAAGCAGGCUUGCGCUAUGAAUACAUUAGCAUGGAAUAAUAAUAUAGGGCUUCGGUUCUAUUUUGUUGGUUUCUAGAACUGAAGUAAUGAUUGAUAGGGAUAGUUGGGGGUGCUAGUAUUCAGCGGCCAGAGGUGAAAUUCUUGGAUUCGCUGAAGACUAACUUAUGCGAAAGCAUUCACCAAGGAUGUCUUCUUUAAUCAAGAACGAAAGUUGGGGGAUCAAAGAUGAUCAGAUACCGU
rnacentral:rRNA from 1 species